CAGUCGCCACGGGAAUACAGAGGGUGCGAGCGUUAAUCGGAUUUACUGGGCGUAAAGCGUGUGUAGGUUGUUGUUCAAGUCAGUUGUGAAAUCCCUGGGCUCAACCUGGGAACUGCUUCUGAGACUGAACGACUAGAGUACGGUAGAGGGUGGUGGAAUUUCCGGUGUAGCGGUGAAAUGCGUAGAUAUCGGAAGGAACAUCAAUGGCGAAGGCAGCCACCUGGGCCUGUACUGACACUGAGACACGAAAGCGUGGGGAUCAAACAGGAUUAGAUACCCCCGUAGUCCCUGUCUCUUAUAC
rnacentral:rRNA from 1 species